rnacentral:rRNA from 1 species
UUUCCUACGGGGGGCAGCAGUGAGGAAUAUUGGUCAAUGGUCGCAAGACUGAACCAGCCAUGCCGCGUGCAGGAUGAAGCAUCUAUGGUGUGUAAACUGCUUUUGUACGGGAAGAAACACCUCUUCGGGAAGAGGCUUGACGGUACCGUAAGAAUAAGGAACGGCUAACUCCGUGCCAGCAGCCGCGGUAAUACGGAGGAAGCGAGCGGUAUCCGGAAUCAUUGGGUUUAAAGGGUCCGUAGGCGGUUUUGUAAGUCAGUGGUGAAAUCCGGCAGCUCAACUGUCGAACUGCCAUUGAUACUACAGGACUUGAAUUACUGUGAAGUAACUAGAAUAUGUAGUGUAGCGGUGAAAUGCUUAGAUAUUACAUGGAAUACCAAUUGCGAAGGCAGGUUACUAACAUUAUAUUGACGCUGAUGGACGAAAGCGUGGGGAGCGAACAGGAUUAGAUACCCUUGUAGUC